rnacentral:rRNA from 1 species
UACGUAGGGUGCAAGCGUUAAUCGGAAUUACUGGGCGUAAAGCGUGCGCAGGCGGUUAUGUAAGGCAGAUGUGAAAUGCCCGGGCUUAACCUGGGAACUGCAUUUGUGACUGCAUGGCUAGAGUUUGGCAGAUGGGGGUAGAAUUCCACGUGUAGCAGUGAAAUGCGUAGAUAUGUGGAGGAACACCGAUGGCGAAGGCAGCCCCCUGGGUCAAGACUGACGCUCAUGCACGAAAGCGUGGGGAGCAAACAGG